rnacentral:lncRNA from 1 species
GGGGGCCGUGAUCCCCCUGCUCGGGCCGCGUCCCGGUCCCCAAAUCCAGCUUCCAGCCGGGAUGUCCUCCCGCAGGGCGAGCAAUGCGGGCAGUGCCCUCCCACCCCGCAAGCCCUCCGAGGGACAGCGACAGUGCAGGCGGUGCCGGGGCCCCCGGGAGAAAAGGGCCCUGGUGGCCCCCCGGGCAGAGCGGUGAGUGUCCCCUGUGCCCGCCGGGCCCGUUUUGGGGGCGAUGCCCCACCCUGAGCCAUUCCUGCGUUUCCUCCAGGGCAGACCCGGCGACGCUGGCGAGAAGGGACAGAAGGGCGACGCUGGCAGCCCCGGGGACCCGGGCAGCCCGGGCAUGGCCGGUGUCCCAGGGCUGUCGGGUGAGCCUGGCAUCAGGGGACCAGCCGGCCCCAAAGGCGACAAGGGAGACCCGUGCCAGCCCGGCCCCGCCGGGCUCGGGGACCUCUUGGACACGGUGGGAAUCCCGGGAAAACCCGGAGCCAAAGGGGACCAGGGCCCGCCGGGCAUCGGCCAGCCGGGCAGACCCGGGAAGCCGGGGCUGCCGGGGGUGCAGGGCCCUGCUGGGCCGAAGGGGCUGCAGGGUGAGCCAGGACCGCGGGGGAUCAGCCAGCCGGGACCACAGGGAGACCCCGGGAGCACCGGACCCCCUGGACCCCCUGGCCCCCCCGGACCGCAGGGACCCCCGGGCACGGCGGCAGAGAAAGGUGCCAAGGGAUCUCCGGGCCCCAAAGGUGCCACGGGACCCCCUGGACCACCAGGGAGCAGCGUCACAGGGCCACCGGGCCCCGAGGGGCGGCAGGGGCUCCCUGGGUCCAGCGGGCAGCCGGUAGGUGCAGAGUGGGCUCCGGGGGGAUGUGCGGGGGCUCUGGGUGGUCACACGGUGGGUGGGGGCACCGGGGGCUGCCCUAAUGCCCAUCUCCGUUUUCCUCUGGCAGGGGGAGAAGGGUUCCCGGGGAGA